UACAGAGGUCUCAAGCGUUGUUCGGAUUCACUGGGCGUAAAGGGUGCGUAGGCGGGUCUUUAAGUCAGGGGUGAAAUCCUGGAGCUCAACUCCAGAACUGCCUUUGAUACUGAAGAUCUUGAGUUCGGGAGAGGUGGGUGGAACUGCGAGUGUAGAGGUGAAAUUCGUAGAUAUUCGCAAGAACACCAGUGGCGAAGGCGGCUCACUGGACAGUUCCUGACGCUGAGGCACGAAGGCCAGGGGAGCAAACGGG
rnacentral:rRNA from 1 species